CAGGGUCAGGAUGGUGGUGUAUACCGUGACUACAGAAGCUCACUCAGAUGGAGUUGGCGCUGUGGCGGAGGGGAACGUUUUGCAGAACAAGAUCAAUUAUGAAAUGAGUUGUACUGUGUACUGAACUUGUACUGAACAGUUGAAUCCAAUAAAGCUCUGAAUUAAGUUGA